ACGCUCGACACCUACGGGAGGCAGCAGUGGGGAAUAUUGCACAAUGGGGGAAACCCUGAUGCAGCGACGCCGCGUGAGCGAAGAAGUAUUUCAGUAUGUAAAGCUCUAUCAGCAGGGAAGAUGAUGACGGUACCUGACUAAGAAGCCCCGGCUAACUACGUACCAGCAGCCGCGGUAAUCUGAGCGGGCUGGCAAGGC
rnacentral:rRNA from 1 species